rnacentral:rRNA from 1 species
CAGCAGCCCGAGUGGUGGUCGUUUUUAUUGGGCCUAAAGCGUCCGUAGCCGGUCUAGUAAAUCCUUGGAUAAAUCGUACAGCUUAACUGUACGGCUCCCGGGGAGACUGCUAGACUUGGGACUGGGAGAGGUCGGAGGUACUCCAGGGGUAGGGGUGAAAUCUUGUAAUCCUUAGGGGACCACCAGUGGCGAAGACGUCCGACUAGAACGGGUCCGACGGUAAGGGACGAAGCCCUGAGGCGCGAACCGGAUUAGAUACCCGAGUAGUCC